rnacentral:lncRNA from 1 species
UUCUCUGUUUUUGGUUUUUGCUCUGAAACAAAUAGCUUCUUUAACAAACCAAACCAGCAAGUUCUCCUUCCCAUUGGAGAUUUUUCUGAAUUUUCAUUAACCCAAUUUAUUAAACUAACUUCAUCUUCUAUUUCUUCAAGCAAACCUGAAAUUUGGAAAAGAAAUCACAAAUUCGCAAACCAUUUCUGCAAUAAGAAAAGCAUGAAAUGUUGCUAAAAGACUAUGUACUCAUGUUUGACUUCUGUACUAAAUAUUAGAAUACCUAUAAAAUAUUUAUCCCAUAAUAUAAAAAUAAUAUAAAAGUGUCAUUAUCAUAAACAGGAAUCUCAAGAUUUUAUAAAUUUAGUGAUAGUCUCAUAUUUACUUCAUAAUAUAAUAAAAAACUUUAAUAAUCAAAUGGAAUAUUUGUUUUACUCAUGUCAAGAAAAUUACAAUUUGAAUCUUGAUGCUCAGUUUCUUGAAAUAUUUAUUAUGUAAAAAUUAAAAAUUAAAAAUUAAAAAAGAAAAAAGAAAGAAAGAAAGAGAAAAACGAAGUAUUACCUGUCUAAUUUAUGGCAGUAUCAAUCAUCACAGGAUAGAAGAACACAAAGUGACCUGUCUUGAGAGCCUUCCAUAAAUAGAUGAAGCUAUUAAGCACAAGGUUCAUGUUAUCAUCAAGAAAAUGAAAUGAAUCUUGAAAAUAUAAUCUUGAAUCUUGAACUGAAUCUUGAAGCUUGGAGAUCACUUCAUGGGUAUAGAAACAAGAAAAGGAUUGAAGAAUCCAUUAAGAAUUGAA